GUGGCAGUGGAAGCGGCUCUGACUUCACUUUGACCAUCAGUGGAGUUCAGACUGAAGAUGCAGCAGUUUACUACUGUAAGAGUAUACAUGUAAUAAACAGUGCUGAUGCUGACGUGGACUUUUGGUGGAGGAACCAAACUCGUCGUUGACUUGGGUGUGGUGCGGCCCACUCUGACCGUCCUCCCCCCUUCCAGAGAGGAGGUGGAGAAGGGCAGUGCCACAGUGGUGUGUCUUGCCAACAGGGGCUUCCCAUCAACCUGGAGGCUGGGCUGGAAAGUGGGGGGCCGCAGCACCUCCUCAGGUGUGUCACACAGCCUGGAGGUCCUGGGGAGUGACGGUCACUACAGCUGGUCCAGCACCCUGAGCCUCAAUGCAGACCAGUGGAGGAAGGCGGGCUCAGUGAGCUGUGAGGCCAGUCUGAGUGGACAGAGCCCUGUCACUCAAACCCUGGACCCUGACAGCUGCUCAGAGUAGAGCUUCAGCAACACUUCCUGUCUGGAAAUGAUGCUGCUUCUCUGAUAGAGAUCUUGAUGAAGCCACAGAUCUCCUCUAUCCACAUUUUUCUAGAAACUCAUCAUUCUGUUUUAAUGGGCAUCCAGCUCUCUGUAAUUAAUCUUACUUAUAUUCUGCUUCAUAGCUAUUAUUUCAAAAAUGUCAUUCAAAAAUCUAAUUGAUAAAAUAAAACUACAGCUUGU